AUGGCUCAGAUUGAACGCUGGCGGCAUGCCUUACACAUGCAAGUCGAACGGUAACAGGUCUUCGGAUGCUGACGAGUGGCGAACGGGUGAGUAAUACAUCGGAACGUGCCCGAUCGUGGGGGAUAACGAGGCGAAAGCUUUGCUAAUACCGCAUACGAUCUACGGAUGAAAGCGGGGGAUCUUCGGACCUCGCGCGGACGGAGCGGCCGAUGGCAGAUUAGGUAGUUGGUGGGAUAAAAGCUUACCAAGCCGACGAUCUGUAGCUGGUCUGAGAGGAUGAUCAGCCACACUGGGACUGAGACACGGCCCAGACUCCUACGGGAGGCAGCAGUGGGGAAUUUUGGACAAUGGGCGAAAGCCUGAUCCAGCCAUGCCGCGUGCAGGAUGAAGGCCUUCGGGUUGUAAACUGCUUUUGUACGGAACGAAAAGCCUCUUUCUAAUAAAGAGGGGUCAUGACGGUACCGUAAGAAUAAGCACCGGCUAACUACGUGCCAGCAGCCGC
rnacentral:rRNA from 1 species